GGCACUCUGAGUAUCAGCCGAGGAUGACAGAUGGUACAGUGGGCAGUGUGUGUCCAUGUGAGUACAAUAAAGUAUAUUCCAGUCUUGAAAAGUAUUUCUAUACAUUCUCCAAGAUCACUUGUGGCAAAGUAGGUUUAGCUGUUUUAUUUAUAAGAAUGUAUAACGCAAACAGGUAAGGGUUUGACGUCAUAAGAAGAGGGGAACAUAUGCAGGUGAUAUACUGGCUAUUGCUACUAAUUUACAGAGGAGACAUAAGCCAUUCCUGUCUCUUGUCCCUACUCCUUCCUUUCUCU